rnacentral:rRNA from 1 species
CGAGCGAACGCUGGCGGCGUGCCUAACACAUGCAAGUCGAACGGUUCUGUUGGGGGCUUGCUCUCGACAGAGUAGUGGCAAACGGGUGAGUAACACGUGGGUAAUCUUCCUUCGAGUGAGGAAUAACUUCGGGAAACCGGAGCUAAUACCGCAUAACAUCUUGGAACGGCAGUUUCAAGAUCAAAGGGGGCGCAAGCUCCCGCUUGAAGUUGAGCUCGCGUCCUAUCAGCUAGUUGGUGAGGUAAUGGCUCACCAAGGCUCCGACGGGUAGCCGGCCUGAGAGGGUGGCCGGCCACACUGGGACUGAGACACGGCCCAGACUCCUACGGGAGGCAGCAGUGGGGAAUAUUGCGCAAUGGACGAAAGUCUGACGCAGCGACGCCGCGUGGGUGAUGAAGGCCUUCGGGUCGUAAAGCCCUGUUGAGGGAGAGAAAGCUACUGUCGGUUAAUACCCGGCAGUGGUGAUAGUAUCCCUAGAGAAAGCACCGGCUAACUACGUG